rnacentral:rRNA from 1 species
UACGUAGGGUGCGAGCGUUGUCCGGAAUUAUUGGGCGUAAAGAGCUCGUAGGCGGUUUGUUGCGUCUAUCGUGAAAACCUGCAGCUUAACUGUGGGCUUGCGGUGGUUACGGGCAGACUUGAGUUCGGUAGGGGAGACUGGAAUUCCUGGUGUAGCGGUGAAAUGCGUAGAGAUCAUGAGGAAGACCAGUGGCGAAGGCGGGUCUCUGGACAGUUCCUGACACUGAGACACGAAGGCCAGGGGAGCAAACAGG